rnacentral:rRNA from 1 species
UACAGAGGGUGCAAGCGUUAAUCGGAAUUACUGGGCGUAAAGCGUGCGUAGUCGGUUAUCUAAGUCGGGUGUGAAAUCCCCGGGCUCAACCUGGGAAUUGCAUUCGAUACUGGAUAGCUAGAGUUCGGCAGAGGGAAGCGGAAUUUCCGGUGUAGCGGUGAAAUGCGUAGAUAUCGGAAGGAACAUCAGUGGCGAAAGCGGCUUCCUGGACCAGAACUGACGAUCAAGCACGAAAGCGUGGGGAGCAAACAGG